rnacentral:rRNA from 1 species
GAUGAACGCUGGCGGCGCGCUUAACACAUGCAAGUCGAACGGAAAGGCCCAAGCUUGCUUGGGUACUCGAGUGGCGAACGGGUGAGUAACACGUGGGUGAUCUGCCCUGCACUUCGGGAUAAGCCUGGGAAACUGGGUCUAAUACCGGAUAGGACCACAUUUUGGAUGGUGUGGUGGAAAGUUUUUCGGUGUGGGAUGAGCUCGCGGCCUAUCAGCUUGUUGGUGGGGUAAUGGCCUACCAAGGCGUCGACGGGUAGCCGGCCUGAGAGGGUGUACGGCCACAUUGGGACUGAGAUACGGCCCAGACUCCUACGGGAGGCAGCAGGGGGGAAUAUUGCACAAUGGGCGCAAGCCUGAUGCAGCGACGCCGCGUGGGGGAUGACGGCCUUCGGGUUGUAAACUCCUUUCGCUAGGGACGAAGCGUUAUGUGACGGUACCUGGAGAAGAAGCACCGGCUAACUACGUG